UGGCGAACGGGUGAGUAACACGUGGGUGAUCUGCCUUGCACUUCGGGAUAAGCCUGGGAAACUGGGUCUAAUACCGGAUAGGACCAUGCUUUAGUGUGUGUGGUGGAAAGUUUUUGGUGCAAGAUGAGCCCGCGGCCUAUCAGCUUGUUGGUGGGGUAAUGGCCUACCAAGGCGACGACGGGUAGCCGGCCUGAGAGGGUGUACGGCCACAUUGGGACUGAGACACGGCCCAG
rnacentral:rRNA from 1 species